rnacentral:rRNA from 1 species
GACGAACGCUGGCGGCGUGCUUAACACAUGCAAGUCGAACGGAAAGGCCCUGCUUUUGUGGGGUGCUCGAGUGGCGAACGGGUGAGUAACACGUGAGUAACCUGCCCUUGACUUUGGGAUAACUUCAGGAAACUGGGGCUAAUACCGGAUAGGAGCUCCUGCUGCAUGGUGGGGGUUGGAAAGUUUCGGCGGUUGGGGAUGGACUCGCGGCUUAUCAGCUUGUUGGUGGGGUAAUGGCUUACCAAGGCCUUGACGGGUAGCCGGCCUGAGAGGGUGACCGGCCACAUUGGGACUGAGAUACGGCCCAGACUCCUACGGGAGGCAGCAGUGGGGAAUAUUGCACAAUGGGCGGAAGCCUGAUGCAGCAACGCCGCGUGCGGGAUGACGGCCUUCGGGUUGUAAACCGCUUUCGCCUGUGACGAAGCGUGAGUGACGGUAAUGGGUAAAGAAGCACCGGCUAACUACGUG